CACCACAGCUGUUGCCCAUGAACUUCACGGUCAUUUCACUACCAUAAGACGUCUCAAAUGUUGUUUUCCUGAAUUUGACAGCACAUCCAGCCAGCCUCACAACUCCAUAAGUAUGUUACAAUGAUGAACUGCUGUCAGGUUAAGACCCUGGUGAGGAGUGAUGCCAAUGAGCUGCCCUGAGACAAUUUGUGCAGAAAUUCUUCAGCUGUGCAAACCAAAUGUUGCAUCAGCCGUCCAGGUGGCAUCUCAGACCAUCUCGCAGAGCCGUGAACAAGAGCCCCCCUAAGCAUGUCGGAAAGCAGAGGAGCCAUGUGAAUGACAGCCUCUGCGAGCAGGGAUGAUACAAUCAUUACGUGUGUUGACACGACAACAGUGAAGAGAUCAACACGGCGAGAGCUUUGUUGUUGCCUAAGAGACAAGUAGAGCUGAAGGCAACAGAUACAGAGGCAAGCUCAGCAUGCCGUGGGGGGAAAAAAGCAUCCAGGUACAAAGGAGCACAGGGAGGUUUGUCUUGUCAGGGCUCAGCCCGGCUGCACCCUGCAGACGAUAAAGGCCAAAUCCUCUGUCUAUCACUCUCUCCACGCUCUCCAGUGUCCUGGCCAGGCACUGAUCACACUGCCCCGGGGGCUUCCUGCUAAUGAUGCUCCUCCAAUGAUGCUGAUGAUCACCGCUAUUGGAAAAGAAACAGGCCAUCUAUACUGAAAGGUUGCCAUGGCAACCUGCUGCGACCCCUUUAGUGCAAAUCACAGGGCUGGUGGAACAAUGCUUUAUGUAGCACACACUGGCAAUACAGCAUCUCAGUCACGCCUCGCUUCAGUUUCUCUUCAAAUAAAUAAAUCACACUAAAUAAA